rnacentral:rRNA from 1 species
GGGGGGGGGGGGGGGGGGGCGUAGGGGGUGCGAGUCGGGCGGGGGAGCGCGGGGUUGGGGGGGUGGGGCAGUGGCGAACGGGGGGGUGACACGUGAGCAACCUGCCCCUGACUCGGGAAGACGCGCUGGGGACGGCGUCUCAUACUGGAUACGAGAAGGGUCCGCAUGGGCACUUUCUGGAAAGUUUUUCGGUUGGGGAUGUGCUCGCGGCCUAUCAGCUUGUUGGUGAGGUAAUGGCGCACCAAGGCGACGACGGGUAGCCGGCCUGAGAGGGCGACCGGCCACACUGGGACUGAGACACGGCCCAGACUCCUACGGGAGGCAGCAGUGGGGAAUAUUGCACAAUGGGCGAAAGCCUGAUGCAGCGACGCCGCGUGAGGGAUGACGGCCUUCGGGUUGUAAACCUCUUUCAGCAGGGAAGAAGCGAAAGUGACGGUACCUGCAGAAGAAGCACCGGCUAACUACGUG